GGUUAUGGCUCAGGGGUAGAGCACUCACCUUGCACAUGCAAGGCCCUGGGUUCGAUCCUCAGCACCA
rnacentral:tRNA from 1 species